rnacentral:rRNA from 1 species
AUUGAACGCUGGCGGCAUGCCUUACACAUGCAAGUCGAACGGCGGCACGGGAGCAAUCCUGGUGGCGAGUGGCGAACGGGUGAGUAAAGUAUCGGAACGUGCCCAGUCGUGGGGGAUAACGUAGCGAAAGUUACGCUAAUACCGCAUACGAUCUAUGGAUGAAAGCGGGGGAUCGCAAGACCUCGCGCGAUUGGAGCGGCCGAUAUCAGAUUAGGUAGUAGGUGGGGUAAAGGCUCACCAAGCCGACGAUCUGUAGCUGGUCUGGGAGGACGACCAGCCACACUGGGACGGAGACACGGCCCAGACUCCUACGGGAGGCAGCAGUGGGGAAUUUUGGACAAUGGGCGAAAGCCUGAUCCAGCCAUGCCGCGUGCAGGAUGAAGGCCUUCGGGUUGUAAACUGCUUUUGUACGGAACGAAAAGGUUUGGCCUAAUAAGCUGAGCUCAUGACGGUACCGUAAGAAUAAGCACCGGCUAACUACGUGCCAGCCGCCGCCGUAA